AAUCCAUAGGUUAAUGAGGCGAACCGGGGGAACUGAAACAUCUAAGUACCCCGAGGAAAAGAAAUCAACCGAGAUUCCCCCAGUAGCGGCGAGCGAACGGGGAGGAGCCCAGAGCCUGAAUCAGCAUGUGUGUUAGUGGAAGCGUCUGGAAAGGCGCGCGAUACAGGGUGACAGCCCCGUACACAAAAGCGCAUGUGCUGUGAGCUCGAUGAGUAGGGCGGGACACGUGGUAUCCUGUCUGAAUAUGGGGGGACCAUCCUCCAAGGCUAAAUACUCCUGACUGACCGAUAGUGAACCAGUACCGUGAGGGAAAGGCGAAAAGAACCCCGGCGAGGGGAGUGAAAAAGAACCUGAAACCGUGUACGUACAAGCAGUGGGAGCACAGGUUUACCUGUGUGACUGCGUACCUUUUGUAUAAUGGGUCAGCGACUUAUAUUCUGUAGCAAGGUUAACCGAAUAGGGGAGCCGGAGGGAAACCGAGUCUUAAUUGGGCGUUAAGUUGCAGGGUAUAGACCCGAAACCCGGUGAUCUAGCCAUGGGCAGGUUGAAGGUUGGGUAA
rnacentral:rRNA from 1 species